GGCGCCGGCCCCCUCCCCCAUAGCUCCCGCCCGCCCGCGGCGCCGGGCCGGGGUGGCCGCCGCGCUUGGCGGGCCCUGGCGUCCCGCGGCUGGCGGCGGCUGGACCCGCGGCCGCGCUCCCCUGAGCCGGCAGGUUGCUCCGAAGUUAGGGCGAGGAAAAAGGGUGGCGGCGAUAUUUUCCCCUGGAGGCAAGGUGUCUUAGAGUGCGUGUGAUGGGCCACUACAAACUUCAUUCCCUGGGUUUCUUUGUAGUUGCUGUCAUGGGAAGAUACUUGACUAUGCUGUUGCUGCUGAUGCUGCUUGUGCAGCAUUUUGGAAACUGUGAAGGAAAUCAAAGACCACAUCAUGCUCCACCAAUGCAAUUUACGCAAGUACAGUAUAAUGCCACUGUGUAUGAGAAUUCUGCAGCCAAGACUUAUGUUGGACAUCCAGUGAAAAUGGGCAUUUACAUUACAAAUCCAUUAUGGGACCUAAGAUACAAAAUUAUUUCUGGUGACAAUGAAAACUUGUUCAAAGCUGAAGAAUAUGUUCUUGGAAACUUUUGUUUUUUGAGAAUACGGACCAAGGGUGGAAACACAGCUAUCCUUAACAGAGAGGUAAAAGACCAUUAUGUGCUGACUGUUAAAGCAGUUGAAAAAAAUACAAACACUGAAACGCGCACAAAGGUCAGAAUACAGGUACUGGAUACAAAUGACUUGCGGCCUUUGUUUUCUCCAACAUCGUACAGUGUUUCUUUGCCUGAAAACACAGCGGUAAGGACCAGCAUCGCAAGAGUCAGUGCAACAGAUGCAGAUAUAGGAACAAAUGGAGAGUUCUACUAUAGCUUUAAAGAAAGAACAGAUGUGUUUGCUAUACAUCCAACUAGUGGAGUGGUAGUUCUAACUGGUAGACUUGACUACUCAGACACUAAGCGUUAUGAGAUGGAAAUUCUUGCAGUGGAUCGUGGGCUGAAGCUCUAUGGCAGCAGUGGAAUAAGCAGUAUGGCAAAACUGACUGUUCAUGUAGAGCAAGCAAAUGAACAUGCCCCUGUUAUUACAGCUGUUACACUGACUCCAUCAGAAUCUGACAAAGAUCCAACUUAUGCAAUUGUAACUGUAGAGGACAAUGAUCAGGGUUCAAACGGGGAAAUAGCAUCAUUAAAUAUUGUUGCAGGUGAUCCACUUCAACAGUUCAGAACAGUGAGGUCUGUUCCAGGAGGCAAAGAAUACAGAAUAAAAGCCAUGGGUCACAUUGAUUGGGAGAGUCACCCAUUUGGAUACAACCUUACCCUUCAAGCUAAAGAUAAAGGAAACCCCCCCCAGUUUUCUUCUGUGAAAGUUGUUCAUGUGACAUCACCACAAUUUAAGUCUGGUCCUGUCAGAUUUGAAAAAGAGAUAUAUAGAGCUGAAAUAAGUGAAUUUGCUCCUCCAAAUACACCUGUGAUAAUGGUGAAAGCUCUGCCUAGUUACCCACAUGUAAAAUAUGUAUUUAAAAAUACACCAGGCAAAGUAAAAUUCAAUUUAAACACUCACACUGGUCUUAUUACCACUUUAGAACCUAUAAAAGCACAAUAUGCAUCCCAUUUUGAACUUGAAGUUGUGACAAGUGACAGAAGAGCUUCUGCAAAAGUGCUAAUUAAGGUACUUGGCAUGAACAGCAAUCCUCCUGAAUUUACUCAGACAUCCUAUAAAGCCUCCUUUGAUGAGAAUGUGCCAAUAGGUACGAGUGUCAUGAGAGUAAGUGCAAGAGACCCUGAUGAAGGGGAGAAUGGUUAUGUGACCUAUAGCAUUGCAAACCUAAAUCCUUUGCCAUUUGUGAUUAACCAUUUCAGUGGGAUUAUUAGUACCUCAGAAGACUUGGAUUAUGAAUUGAUGCCAAGGGUUUACAAUUUAAGGAUUCGAGCUUCUGAUUGGGGUAUACCAUAUCGUCGAGAAGUUGAAGUUCCUGUUACUAUUAUUUUAAAUAACCUGAAUGACAAUAUACCUUUGUUUGAAAAAGUUAAUUGUGAGGGAACAAUCCCCAGGGAUCUUGGUGUUGGAGAACAAAUAACAACUGUAUCUGCUAUUGAUGCUGAUGAGCUCCAGUUGGUGAGAUAUCAAAUUGAAUCUGGAAAUGAACUGGAUUUAUUUAGCCUAAAUCCAAAUUCUGGAGUCCUUUCACUCAAACAGUCACUAAUAGAUGGCCCAGGUGCAAAGAUUUCUUUUCACAGUUUGAAAAUUACAGCUACAGAUGGAGAAAACUUUGCAGAACCAUUGUAUAUCAACAUAACUGUAGCAACUAGUCGCAAACCGGUAGACUUGCAAUGUGAAGAAACUGGGGUUGCCAAAAUGCUUGCUGAGAAACUCCUACAAGCAAAUAAAUUGCACAGUGGUGGAGAAGUUGAGGAUGUUUUCUUUGACACACACUCUGUGAAUAUGCAUGCACCUCAAUUUAGAAAUACUCUCCCCAGUAGUAUUGAGGUAAGAGAAGACCAACCUGUGGGCUCUAGCAUAAUACUUAUGAGUGCUAUUGACCUUGAUACUGGCUUCAAUGGAAAGCUAGUGUAUGUUAUUUCAGGAGGUAAUGAAGAUAGUAGUUUCAUUGUUGAUAUGGAAAGAGGAGUGCUGAAAAUUUUAUCUCCCCUUGACCGAGAAGUAAAGGAUAAAUAUACUCUAAAUAUUACUGUCUAUGAUCUUGGAGUACCACAGAAGUCUGCCUGGCACCUUUUAGAUAUAAAAAUUUUGGAUGCUAAUGACAAUGCCCCGGAGUUCCUGCAGGACAGCUACUUUGUUGAAGUGAAUGAAAACAAGGAGCCAAACAGUGAAAUAAUUCAAAUUGAAGCUACUGAUAAAGAUUUGGGGGCUAAUGGAGAAGUGAAAUAUUCUCUUCUUACAGAUACAGACAAGUUUACUAUUAAUGCUGUGACAGGAGUUGUGAAAGUCGUAGGCGUUCUGGAUCGUGAAGAACAGCAUGUCCAUUUCUUGAAGAUAGAGGCUAGAGACCAACCUACUGAAGAACCUCAGUUAUUUUCAACAGUUAUUUUGAAAGUGUCUGUAGAAGAUGUUAAUGACAAUCCUCCUAAGUUUAUUCCUUCAAAUUAUCAUGUGAAAAUUCGAGAAGACCUUCCCGAGGGAACCAUUAUUAUGUGGUUAGAAGCCUAUGAUCCUGAUUUAGGCCAGUCAAGUCAAGUACGAUACAGUCUUUUGGACAGUGGAGACAGCACCUUUGAUGUUGACAAACUAAGUGGAGCAAUACGUAUUGUACAAAGACUGGAUUAUGAAAAGAAACAAUUUUAUAAUUUGACUGUGCGGGCCAAGGACAAAGGAAAACCCAUUUCAUUGUCCGCUACAUGUUACAUUGAGGUUGAGAUAGUUGAUGUGAAUGAAAACUUGCACCCUCCGCGGUUCUCUAUAUUUGCAGAUAAAGGCUUUAUAAAAGAAGAUGCCCCUGUUGGCUCCUCAGUAAUGACAGUAUCUGCUUAUGAUGAAGAUGAAGGACGAGAUGGGGAGAUUAGAUAUUCCAUCAGAGAUGGAUCUGGUAUAGGAGUUUUUCGAAUAGAUGAAGAAAAAGGUAUUAUUGAGACGGCAGAUCGCCUGGAUCGUGAGACUACUUCACAUUACUGGUUAACUGUUUAUGCAACAGACCAAGGCGUUGUGCCUUUAUCAUCUUUCAUUGAAAUCUACAUAGAAGUCGGGGAUGUUAAUGAUAAUGCUCCUCAGACCACAGAACCAGUUUAUUACCCAGAGGUCAUGGAAAACUCACCUAAAGAUGUAUCUGUGAUUCAGAUUGAGGCGUUUGAUCCAGAUUCUAGCUCAAGUGAAAAAUUAACCUACAAGAUUACAAGUGGAAAUCCACAGGGAUUCUUUUCAAUAAACCCCAAAACUGGUCUAAUUACAACCACAUCUAGAAAACUAGAUCGAGAGCAGCAGGCAGAACAUAUACUGGAGGUAAUGGUAACAGACAACGGUAUUCCUCCAAAAUCAACAAUUGCACGGGUGAUUGUGAAAGUUUUAGAUGAGAAUGACAAUAAGCCUCAGUUCUUGCAAAAAUUCUACAAAAUCCAGCUACCAGAGCGUGGUAAGCCAGAACGAGAGAGAACUGCCAGGAGAGAGCCCAUCUACCGAGUUAUUGCUGCAGAUAAAGAUGAAGGCCCCAAUGCAGAGAUCUCGUACAGCAUUGAAGAUGGUGAUGAACAUGGCAAAUUCUUUAUUGAACCGAAAACUGGAGUGGUUUCGUCAAAGAAAUUUUCUGCAGCAAAGGACUACGAUAUCCUUUCAAUUAAAGCUGUAGAUAAUGGUCGUCCACAAAAAUCAUCAACUACACGGCUUCACAUAGAAUGGAUUCCAAAGCCUGUCCCACCCACAGAGCCUAUUUAUUUUGAGGAAGCAUUUUUUUCUUUUACGGUGAUGGAAAGUGACCCAGUUGCUCACAUGAUUGGUGUAAUAGCUGUUGAACCUCUUGGAACACCAGUUUGGUUUGACAUAACGGGUGGCAACUAUGACAGUCGAUUUGAUGUGGACAAGGGCACUGGAACUAUCAUUGUCGCUAGACCUCUUGAUGCAGAACAGAAAUCAAAUUACAACUUGACGGUAGAGGCAACAGAUGGAACCAGAACUAUCAGCACUCAGGUGUACAUCAAAGUUAUAGACACAAAUAAUCACAGGCCUCAGUUUUCUGCUUCAAAGUAUGAAGUUGUUAUUCCUGAAGACACCAUGCCAGAGACAGAAAUUCUGCAAGUCAGUGCCACGGACAGAGAUGAGAAGAAUAAACUGAUUUAUACUAUGCAGGGCAGCACUGAUCCCAUCAGUCUUAAAAAAUUUCGUCUGGACCCUGGAACUGGCUCUCUUUAUACUUCAGAAAAACUGGAUCAUGAGACUAUGAACCAGCAUAUUCUCACAGUAAUGGUUCGAGAUCAAGAUGUUCCUGUAAAGCGCAACUAUGCUAGAAUCAUCAUUAGUGUUAGUGACACAAAUGAUCAUGCUCCAUGGUUCACGAGCUCUUCCUAUGAAGGACGGGUAUAUGAGUCAGCAGCUGUUGGAUCUGCAGUACUCCAGGUUACAGCAUUAGAUAAGGACAAAGGAAAAAACGCAGAAAUUGUCUAUUCUAUUGAAUCAGGGAAUAUUGGAAAUUCCUUCUUUAUAGAUCCUGUAUUGGGUAUGAUUAAAAUUGCAAAGGAAUUAGAUCGUAGUAAACAGGAAGAAUACAGCCUGAUGGUAAAAGCUACAGACAAAGGAGACCCCCCAAUGAGUGAAGUGACCUCUGUGCAUAUAUUUGUUACGGUUUCUGAUAAUGCUUCACCAAAAUUCACAGCCAAAGAAUAUUCUACGGAAAUCAGUGAAAGUGCCAGCAUUGGCAGUUUUGUUGGAAUGGUUACAGCAUACAGUCAAUCUUCUGUAGUUUAUGAAAUAAAAGAUGGUAAUAUAGGUGAUGCCUUUGCUAUCAACCCAAACUCAGGUGUCAUUGUUUCUCAGAAGAUACUUGAUUUUGAAACUUUGCCUGUUUACACUCUAACUGUUCAAGGAACGAACAUGGCUGGCUUGUCAACUAAUGCAACGGUUGUGGUGCAUCUUCGGGAUGAGAAUGACAAUACACCAAUUUUUAUGCAGGCUGAAUACACCGGACUCAUCAGCGAAUCAGCUUCAAUUAACAGUGUGGUUCUGACUGACAAGAAUAUCCCAUUAGUAAUUCGAGCUACAGAUGCUGAUAAAGAGUCUAAUGCUUUGCUUGUUUAUCAAAUUGUUGAACCAUCUGUCCGCAAAUAUUUUGCCAUUGAUUCUAGCACUGGUGCCAUUCGGACAGUAACGAGUCUGGACUAUGAGGAGACAAAUAUUUUCCGCUUUUCAGUGCAAGUACAUGAUAUGGGGAUACCACGUUUAUAUGCAGAAUAUGCAGCUAAUGUAACUAUUUAUGUAAUUGACAUCAAUGAUUGCCCUCCUGUGUUUUCAAGAGAGUUGUAUGAGACAUCCAUUUUGGUUCCAACCUAUAAAGGCGUGAAAGUCAUCAGCGUAAAUGCCACUGAUGCUGAUUCAGGCAUUUUUUCACAAUUAAUUUAUUCAAUUAUUGAAGGCAACAUUGGAGAAAAAUUUUCAAUAAACCCUAAGACUGGAGAUAUAAUAGUACAAAAUACAACUCAGUUAAGAAGCAGAUACGAAUUAACAGUGAGAGCAUCUGAUGGAAGAUUUGCAAGCACUGCAUCUGUAAAAAUUAAUGUGAAAGAAAGCAAAGCAAGCCAGCUGAAAUUCACACAGAGUUCUUACUCUGCAACAGUGCAGGAGAAUUCUACAGAGGCAAAAACAAUAGCUGUUGUUACUGCUGUAGGGAAUCAAAUAAAUGAGCCUUUGUUUUACAAUAUUAUAAAUCCAGACAGCAGAUUUAAAAUAAGCCCAACUUCAGGAGUUCUUUCAACAACAGGAAUACCAUUUGAUCGUGAACAGCAAGAAUCUUUUGAUGUGGUCAUAGAAGUGACAGAGGAAUAUAAACCAUCAGUUGUUGCACACAUUGUAGUGAAAGUCACAGUGGAAGAUGUAAAUGAUAAUGCCCCAUUUUUUGUCAAUCUUCCAUAUUAUGCUGUUGUUAAAGUAGACUCUGAAGUAGGCCAUGUUAUUCGACGUGUCACUGCAGUAGAUAAAGAUACAGGCAGAAAUGGAGAGGUGCAUUACUAUCUCAAAGAACAUCAAGAACAUUUCCAAAUUGAUCCCACUGGUGAAAUCUCACUGAAGAAGAAGUUUGAACCAGACACAGUAAAUAAGGAGUAUCUGGUCACAGUAGUGGCAAAAGAUGGAGGAGACCCUGCUUUUUCUGCUGAAGUUGUAGUCCCAAUUACAGUUAUGAGUAAAGCUAUGCCAGUUUUCGAAAAGCCUUUCUACAGUGCAGAGAUACCAGAAAACAUUCAGCUCCAUAGUCCUGUGGUUCAUGUACAAGCAAACAGCCCAGAAGGACUUAAGGUGUUUUACAGCAUCACAGAUGGAGAUCCUUUCAGUCAGUUCACCAUCAACUUCAACACUGGCGUUGUAAAUGUUGUUGCGCCUCUUGACUUUGAGUCUCAUCCAGCCUACAAACUGAGUAUUCGAGCAACUGACUCCCUAACUGGGGCGCAUGCUGAUGUGUUUGUAGACAUAAUAGUGGAAGACAUCAAUGAUAAUCCUCCUGUGUUUACAGAGCAGUCUUACACUGCAACCCUUUCUGAGGCAUCUGUCGUUGGAACAUCAGUUGUACAAGUGAGCGCUACAGAUGCUGAUUCUGGAACAAACAGGGGGAUUUCCUAUCACUUGGUUGAGGAUAAUAGUGAAAGUCAUGACUACUUCCACAUAGACAGCAGCACUGGACUCAUUCUUACUGCAAGAACUUUGGACUACGAACAGAUUAAACAACACAAGUUACUUGUAAGGGCCAUAGAUGGUGGCAUGCUGCCCUUGAGCAGUGAUACUGUUGUAACUGUUGAUGUAACUGAUCUCAAUGAUAACCCCCCUCUUUUUAACCAAUUGCUUUAUGAAGCUAAAAUUAGUGAACUUGCUCCCCGAGGGCAUUUUGUGACAUGUGUGCAAGCCUCAGAUGCAGAUAGUUCGGAUGUUGACAAGCUGGAGUACUCCAUUCUGACAGGCAAUGACCAAAAGAAUUUUGUAAUUAAUAGUAAAACUGGUAUUAUCACCGUCUCAAACCUACGCAGACAGGCACUAAAGUCACAUUAUAAUCUUAAUGUGUCUGUUUCUGAUGGGGUUUUCAGAAGCUCAGCCCAAGUCCAUAUAACUGUAACUAGUGCCAAUAUGCAUAGUCCUGUUUUCAGCCAGAAUGAAUAUGAGGUUGAACUAGCUGAAAAUGCUCCGAUGCGUACUUUGGUGACUCAAGUUAAAGCAACAGAUGAAGAUUCUGGUACAUAUGGCCACAUCACUUACCACAUUGUGAAUGACUUUGCCAAAGACAGAUUUUAUACAAAUGAGAGAGGGCAGAUAUUUACCUCUGAAAAGCUUGACCGUGAAACACAAGCAGAAAAAGUAAUUGCCAUUAGUUUAAUGGCCAAAGAUUCAGGAGGAAAAGUUGCUUUCUGUACUAUUAAUGUUAUACUUACAGAUGACAAUGAUAAUGCUCCUCAGUUCCGAGCAACAGAGUAUGAAGUAAAUAUUGGAUCUGAUGUUCCACGGGGUACUUCUGUCAUUAAAGUCUGGGCAUCUGAUGCUGAUGAGGGUACAAAUGCAGACAUCACAUAUGCUAUUGAAGCAGAGUCUGAAAAUGUUAAAGAGAAUUUGGAAAUUGAUUCAUUGUCUGGUAUAAUUACUACAAAAGAAAGCUUAAUUGGUUUAGAAAAUGAAUUUCUGACCUUCUUUGUUAGAGCAAUUGAUGGUGGGUCCCCCCAAAAAGAGUCAGUUGUUCCUGUCUAUGCUAGAAUACUCCCACCAGAAGUGCCUCUUCCAAAAUUUUCAGAGCCUUUUUAUUCCUACACUGUUUCUGAAGACAUUCCAGUUGGGACUGUGAUAGAUAUUAUCAAAGCAGAGCAUAAUCAAACUUUAGUAUAUAGUCUGAUUAAAGGGAACACUCCUGAAAGCAAUAGAGAUGAUUUUUUUGUGAUUGACCGACAGACUGGAGCAUUGAAACUGGAGAAGAAUCUUGAUCAUGAAACAACUAAGUGGUACCAGUUCUCAGUUCAAGCACAGUAUGCAAGUGAAGAUUAUAAUGUUGUUUCCUCAGUAGAGGUAAGCAUUCAAGUAAAAGACGUAAAUGAUAACCAACCAGUUUUGGAGUCCAAUCCAUAUGAAGCAUUCAUCGUAGAAAACAUGCCAGCUGGAACAAGAGUCAUCCAGGUUAAAGGAACUGACUUAGAUUCAGGACUCAAUGGGCAGGUUACUUACAGCUUGGAUCCUUCUCAAGAACUAGACACUAUAGAGUCUUUUACCAUAAACAUGGAAACUGGCUGGAUUACCACUCUCAAAGAACUUGAUCAUGAGAAACGAGACAAGUACAGAAUCACAGUGAUUGCAUCUGAUCGGGGUGAAAAAAUUCAACUGUCCUCUCUGGCUGUAGUUGAAGUUACUGUUACGGAUGUGAAUGACAAUCCUCCACGCUUUACUGCAGAGAUAUAUAAAGGAACAGUCAGUGAGGAUGACCCUCCUGGUGGAGUAAUUGCCAUCUUGAGUACAACUGAUGCGGAUACAGAAGAAGCCAAUAGACAAGUUUCCUAUUACAUUACAGGAGGUGAUCCCUUGGGACAGUUUGCUAUUGAAAAUAUACAGAAUGAAUGGAAGGUCUAUGUCAAAAAGCCUCUGGACAGAGAAGAAAAGGAUAAUUACCUUCUAAAUAUUACAGCUACUGAUGGGACCUUUGCAACUAGGGCUGUGGUGGAGGUUAAAGUCCUUGAUGCUAAUGAUAAUAGCCCUGUUUGCGAAAAGGCUUUAUACACUGAUUCUGUUCCUGAGGACGCCCUUCCUGGCAAACUGAUAAUGCAGGUAUCUGCCACAGAUGCAGAUAUUCGUUCCAAUGCAGAAAUUACUUACACACUGCAUGGCACAGGAGCAGAAAAAUUCAGGCUCACUCCCGACACAGGUGAACUGAAAACAUCAAUGCCACUUGAUCGUGAGCAGCAAGCAGUCUAUUAUCUACUAGUGAAAGCCACAGAUGGAGGAGGAAGGUUCUGCCAAGCGAAUAUUAUUCUGACUCUGGAAGAUGUGAAUGAUAAUGCCCCAGAGUUCACAGCUGAUCCUUACUCCAUUACAGUAUUUGAAAAUACAGAGCCCAAAACCCUUUUGACAAGAGUACAGGCAACAGAUGCAGAUGCAGGGAUGAACCGUAAAAUCCAUUAUUCACUGGUGAACUCUGCAGAGGGCCAGUUCUCUAUUGAUGAAUUUUCUGGAAUCAUUCGGUUGGAGAAGCCUUUGGAUCGGGAGCUACAAGCUGUGUACACUCUAACUUUAAAGGCUACAGAUGAAGGUUUACCUAGAAGACUGUCUUCAACAAGUAGUCUUAUAGUUUCUGUUUUGGAUAUAAAUGAUAAUCCACCUGUAUUUGAGCAUAGGGAGUAUAGUGCAAGUGUAUCAGAGGACGUUUUGGUUGGAACUGAAGUUCUCCAGAUCUAUGCUGCAAGCAGGGACAUUGAAGCCAAUGCUGAAAUCACAUACUCAAUAGUCAGUGGGAAUGAACAUGGAAAAUUCAGCAUCGAUUCAACAACAGGAGCCAUUUUUAUAAUUGAGAGCUUGGAUUAUGAAAGUUCUCAUGAGUACUACUUGACAGUGGAAGCCACAGAUGGAGGCACACCUUCCUUAAGUGAUGUUGUAACAGUGAACAUUAAUGUAACAGAUAUCAAUGACAAUACUCCAGUGUUCAGCCAAGACACUUACACUGCAGUAAUCAGUGAAGAUGCUAUACUUGAACAAUCUGUCAUUACAGUUAUGGCAGAUGACGCUGAUGGACCUUCAAACAACUGCAUUCACUACACCAUUAUAGAUGGCAAUCAGGGAAAUCCUUUUACAAUUGACCCUACUAGGGGUGAAAUAAAAGUGACUAAACUUCUAGACAGAGAAAAGAUUUCAGGAUAUACCUUGACAGUUCAGGCUUCGGACAAUGGAAACCCACCUAGACUUAACACAACCACAGUUAAUAUUGAUGUUUCUGAUGUAAAUGACAAUCCUCCAGUAUUCUCAAAAGGAAACUAUAGUGUUAUCAUCCAGGAAAAUAAGCCUAUUGGAUUUAGCGUGCUACAGCUAGUGGUGACCGACAAGGAUUCUUCUCACAAUGGCCCUCCUUUUCUCUUCACCAUCCUGAGUGGAAAUGAAGAGAACACUUUUCAGAUUAACCAGCAGGGAGUACUGACAACAACUGCCGCUCUCAAUCGCAAAGUGAGGGAUCACUAUUUACUUCAUGUUAAGGCGACAGAUAAUGGAAAACCACCGUUGUCAUCUUUGACUUACAUUGACAUUAGAGUUAUUGAGGAAAGCAUUUAUUCUCCAGCAAUUCUGCCUCUAGAAAUCUUUAUCACAGCCUUUGGGGAAGAAUAUUCAGGUGGUGUCAUUGGAAAAAUUCAUGCAACCGAUCAAGAUGUUUAUGAUACUUUGACAUACAGUCUGGACCCCAAAAUGGAAUCCUUGUUCUCCGUUUCCAGUACUGGUGGCAAACUAAUAGCACAUAAAAGGUUAGAUGUAGGACAGUACCUCCUAAAUGUCACUGUUACAGAUGGAAAAUUUACAACUGCAGCUGAUAUUACUGUACACAUCAGACAAAUCACACAAGAGUUACUAAACCACAGUAUUGCAAUACGCUUUGCAAAUCUUGCCCCUGAAGAAUUCAUUGGUGAUUACUGGCGCAAUUUCCAGAGAGCUUUAAGAAACAUCUUGGGCGUGAGAAGAAAUGACAUCCAGAUUGUCAGUUUGCAGCCUUCAGAUCCUCCUUCAAACCUGGAUGUCCUCCUGAAUAUUGAAAAGUCUGGUAGCUUUCAGCACCCAAUGAGAAUUUUGCUCCACAAGAUAAACUCUUCUGUGCCUGACCUAGAGGAGAUUUUAGGUGUCCGGAUAAUCGAUGUUUUCCAUAAGCUUUGCGCUGGCCUAGAUUGUCCUUUGAAAUUUUGUGAAGAAAAAGUAACAGUGGAUGAGAACAUCAUGUCAACCCACAGCACAGCCAGGUUGAGUUUUGUCACUCCUCGUCAUCACAGAACAGCAGUUUGUCUUUGUAAAGAAGGGAAAUGCCCCCUAGUGAAUAACGUGUGUGAAGGAAACCCAUGCCCUGAAGGUACUGAAUGCUUAGGAGAUCCAAAGGAAGGAAAAUAUACCUGUGUUUGCCAAGACAGCAAAACUGGACAGUGUCCUGCAUCAGCUGGCUCUGCUGUGACUUUCACUGGGAGCAGCUACGUGAAGUACCGUCUCAUGGAAAAUGAGAACAAAGAGGAAAUGAAGCUGACAAUGAGACUUAGAACUUACUCUGCUCAUGCAGUUGUUAUGUAUGCUCGAGGAACAGACUACAGUAUCUUAGAGAUUCACCAUGGAAGGCUGCAAUAUAAAUUUGAUUGUGGCAGUGGACCUGGGAUUGUCUCCGUUCAGAGCAUUCAGAUUAACGAUGGCCAGUGGCAUUCAGUAUCUCUGGAAGUGGAUGGAAAUUAUGCACGACUUGUUCUGGAUAGGGUGCAUACUGCAUCUGGUACUGCUCCUGGCACACUUAGGACACUAAACCUAGAUAAUCAUGUGUUUUUUGGUGGUCAUAUUCGGCAGCAAGGUACAAGACAUGGCAGAAGUCCUCAGGUUAGCAAUGGUUUCAGAGGCUGUAUGGAUUCUGUUGUACUUAAUGGACAAGAGCUGCCUCUAAACAGUAAGCCACGAAAUUAUGCACACAUGGAAGAAUCUGUAGAUGUGACUCCUGGAUGUUUACUGACUACCACAGAAGGUUGUUCAAGCAGCCCAUGUCAGAAUGGAGGAAUCUGCAACGCCCUGACAAAUGGAGGUUACUACUGCAAGUGUGGUCCUUUGUUUAUGGGAACUUACUGCGAUGUGAGUGUCAACCCAUGUGCUUCCAACCCCUGCCUUUACGGUGGUACUUGCAUCCCGGUCAGUGAUGAUUUUAUCUGCCAAUGCCGAGGACAGUAUACAGGCCAAAGGUGCCAGCUGGGUCCAUAUUGCAAGGACAAUCCUUGUAAAAACAGUGGCAAGUGUAUUGACAGUUUGGAUGGACCUGUUUGUGAGUGUGAAGCAGGCUUUCGUGGAGAAAGGUGCCUGACUGAUGUGGAUGAAUGUGUAGAAAACCCAUGUCUUAAUGGUGCCCUUUGUGAGAACACUUAUGGUUCCUAUCACUGCAACUGUAGCCAUGGAUUUGGAGGAAAACACUGCACAGACAUUGUUCUUAACAAAUAUGUGUCAACAUCUUGGAACAUUAGCUUAGCUGAAGUGAUUGGGAUUAUUGUUUUCAUCGCAGGAAUAUUCUUGUUAGUUGUGAUUUUUGUUGUUUGCCGCAAAGUGAUUAGUAGAAAGAAGAAGCACCAGCCAGAACCUGAAGACAAGCAACUGGGAACUACAACAGCUUUCUUGCAAAGACCUUAUUUUGAUGCAAAAUUGAAUAAGAAUAUCUAUUCUGACAUCCCACCACAGGUUCCUGUUCGUCCCAUUUCAUACACACCAAGCAUUCCAAGCGACUCCAGAAACAAUCUUGACAGGAAUUCUUUUGAGGGGUCUGCUAUCCCCGAGCACCCAGAGUUUAGUACUUUUAACCCAGAUUCUGUACAUGGUCACCGGAAAGCUGUGGCUGUUUGCAGCGUAGCACCAAAUUUGCCACCUCCACCUCCCUCCAACUCUCCUUCAGACAGCGAUUCAAUACAGAAACCCAGCUGGGAUUUUGACUAUGACACUAAAGUAGUAGAUCUUGACCCCUGCCUUUCAAAAAAGCCUCUGGAUGAAAAGAACUCCCAUCCUUAUAGUGCUAGAGAAAGCAUGUCUGAGGUCCAGUCACUCAGCUCCUUUCAGUCUGAAUCAUGUGAUGACAACGCUCCCAUAUGGAUCAGAUCAGUUCUGAGUGAGAGCAGAGUUUAAGGGACUGCUUCUUCCAUAGUGACUGUAAUACACCUUGUCAAUGCUGUUGUUGACUCGGUGGAAAAAGAAGAAUCUUUUGCUGUUCCUGACCUCAGCAAUUCAAGAGGUUAUCACUGGGAUACAUCAGAUUGGAUGCCAAGUGUUCAGUUGCCAGGGAUCCAAGAGUAUCCAAAUUAUGAAGUGGUUGAGGAGUCAGCUCCCCUUUACACGGAUCCAAACACCAUCGAUACAGACUAUUACCCUGGUGGUUAUGACCUCGAAAGUGAUUUUCCACCUCCACCUGAUGACUUUCCUGCACCUGAUGAGCUUCCACCAUUACCACCAGAAUACAGCGACCAGUUUGAGUCAAUACAGCCACCCAGAGACAUGCCAGCCGUAGGUAGCUUGGGCUCUUCUACAAGAAGCAGGCAGAGAUUUAACCUUAAUCAGUACCUUCCCCAUCACUAUCCUGCAGACAUGUCAGAACCUCAGACCACCACCAGUGGUGUCAACGGCAGUUACAGAGAACCUUACACUCCUUACACGUUAGGGUACAAUAGAGACUUUGAAGCGCCCACUGUAGACAACAUGUCCAUGUCUGUGUAUGCUUCCACAGCUUCAUGCUCUGAUGUGUCAGCGUGCUGUGAAAUGGAGUCUGAAGUCAUGAUGAGUGACUAUGAGAGUGGAGACGAUGGUCAUUCUGAAGAUGUGAAAAUUCCUCCACUUGAUUCCCAGCACCAUACAGAAGUCUGACACGCUCAACAAAAGUGCCUGGACUCUAACAAACUUUGUCAAUUGUAGAACAACUUUCUAGAGCUUUUUUAUUUUUUUUCCCCGGCCACAGGGAAUGCUUUUGUUUCAGUGAGCUAAACUGGCAUGGCAGUGUUGGAUCAUGCAGUUCAUUUCUUGCUAUCAGCCUGUUUCCAUUUCCUGACCUGCUGUAAUCAGUUCUGAUAUUUCCAUUGGCUGUGCCAUUUCUGAACAUCCUUUUUGUACUUACAUUGUCUAUGUUAAAAAAAAAUCACAUACCACUUCUCCAUGUUAGCAUGAUGCAUAUAUUUAUAUAGUUCUAAUGCAAUUAAUUUUCGCCUACUUUUUGUAAAUUUUAUGUACAGUUUUGAUUUUAAUAGUUUUAACUAGAUUUUGUAGAUAUUUUGUGAAUUUGUUUUCCACUGAAACUAGUGGUGUUAGUGUGCCAUUAAAAACCAGCACCCUGACUUACUAUAAUCAGGGCAUCACUGUAUGUAUUCCCCCAAAAACUAAGGUUUGAAAUUUCAUUAUAAAAAAUUCAACAUAUUCACACAAUUCUAAUUGUACAGAAGUCAGGUCUGAUAUUUUUCUGGGUCAGCUACAUGGAAAUGUCUUAAAUGGGUUGCUGUAUUUUAGAAGUGUAAACAUUUUUUCCCUUCUUGGAAAGUGUGUUGGAGACCCUCUACAUAUCAGUUCAGAACCAAAACCACCAUGACACAGUUUUUAUAGUGUCUGUAUAUUUGUGAUCCUAUGGUCUUGUAAAGGUUUUUACUGAAAAUUACCAUUAGCCAGUCUUUCUUACUGACAAUAAAUUAUUAAUAAAAUACUUUAGCUUUGCUCUGUGUAUCUCUAUUAUAUAAUAUACAAUUGACAAAAGCAUUCAGUGCAGCAUUUUUAAGUCUGUAAAUGUUUUGUACUGUGUUAAGUUACUUGCUCCAAACAACUCAUUUUCCUCUCUUCUGCAAUCAAACUGCAGCUAUGUUAGAGAUGCUCACUAGAUGGCAGUGUCUGUCUACGUAAUGGUGUUUUUAAAAGUAAUCGGGCCAGUAUGAAUAAAGAUUGAUGGGUAUUAAACUUC